rnacentral:rRNA from 1 species
GACGAACGCUGGCGGCGUGCUUAACACAUGCAAGUCGAGCGGUAAGGCCCUUUCGGGGGUACGACGAGCGGCGAACGGGUGAGUAACACGUGGGUGACCUGCCCUCAGCUCUGGGAUAAGCCUGGGAAACCGGGUCUAAUACUGGAUAUGACUCCAUGACGCAUGUUGUGGGGUGGAAAGCCUUGUGCGGCUGAGGAUGGGCCCGCGGCCUAUCAGCUUGUUGGUGGGGGUGANGGCCCUACCAAGGCGACGACGGGUAGCCGGCCUGAGAGGGCGACCGGCCACACUGGGACUGAGACACGGCCCAGACUCCUACGGGAGGGCAGCAGUGGGGAAUCUUGCGCAAUGGGCGAAAGCCUGACGCAGCGACGCCGCGUGAGGGAUGAC